AUACAGUUGACGAGUCCGAAAUAGGAUGAAACGUGCGUCCUGAAU
rnacentral:hammerhead_ribozyme from 1 species